GCCUUCGUGGUGUAGAGUGGUCAGCACUCUCAACGCGUAUUCGAGAGGCUCGUGGUUCGAGUCCCGGCGAGGACA
rnacentral:tRNA from 1 species